UAAAAUAUCUAAGUGGACGUAGCCUUGCCCCAAGUGCAUGGUGAACCACUAUACAUCCGGUGUCAUCUCUCUCUCUAUCUCCAUCAUGCUUCUUACUUUAGGUCCCGUAUUCUUCAACAGAAACAGUUAGUAUGUACGAGUCUGAUUCCAUCUUCCCUGUUACGCUGUUUGCUGAGAAUUCUGAUUUGGAGUCUGAUUCCAUCUUCACUCCACAGAGAGGUAGAGAGAGAGAGAGGGAAUUGAUAUCCGUCUGUAAUCGAAGAAAUUGGUGCUUGGGGGUUUGAUUUGAUACGCAGCAAGGAUCAAUUUCUGUGGCAAAGGGAUUGAUUUCCGUCUCUAACCUGCAUUUGAUCACUCGGCACGAGGUUAUUGAGCUUCCUCGAAGAGAGACAAAGCUCCAGCUUUCUUGAGAUGGCGAUCUUCUUCAUUUUAAGAGAAUUAAGGUUGGGUACCUGCCCUGAGGAUUCUUGGCAACAUCAGCUCCUCAAAUUUGUUAGAUCAUGCUGAGGGAUUUGUAUAAUCUCACGUCCAGGAGUCCAGAAGGUGCACAGGCUGCUUCGAGUCUUGCCGGGACAAUGCUUGGAUGAGGAUGUUGCCUUCUAACACAGCUAUUGCACAUGUUAGCCCAACAGAGGUUCUCGAAGAUAUGCCUGCAAUUUGCUUCGACAAGGAAACAAAUAAUAAUGAACUCAGAAACCCCUGAAGCUCAAGCGUUGGAGAAGCUUGAGAAAAGAGUGAACGAGGUUGAGCAGUAUUACUUGAGGAAAGGCAGUCUGCAACCAACCACUUCGAAGGAGAAAGACGGAGAUAAACAUUUUAAUACAAUUAAGAAGCAGCAACAAGAUGCAUCAUGUAGGGACGCUGCUGGUGCAAAGAGGAUGCGAGAUCUGUUGAAUGAUAGUGACAUUUUUGCCCCUACAUUCUCGCUGGCUUUUACCUGACUACCCUGACGAGGACUGGAUGUGGCUCUUUUUCAUUGCUCCACGAAGAGACAGAGCAAUCUUGAGAGAGUUCAUGAAUGAUCCAGAGACCCGGCGUUUGUUUCUUUGCUUCGCACGAAGAGAGAGAGUGGGAGAUAGAGGUGAUAUUCAAGAAAGAGACUGAUCGGAGAGUCACACAGAGAAAGAAAGAAGUGUGAGAGGGAUCUGGGUUUUGACUACAGCCCCAAAUUUCUAAUCGAGGUGCUCAAAGAACGAAACGGUGAUAUUCGCUCUUUAUGGAGACAGUUGCACAAAGAAUGGGUACAUAUGUGGAUUUACAAUCUCGAUACAGAUGUGAGCAACUGAUCUUACACUGAGGAGUUGUGUUUAUUUGAGAAGAGAAAAUUUCCAAAGAUUAUUAUUUGUUUUGAAGCUGUUGGAUUUUAAAGCAAAAUGACUGCAGUAUCUAAACAAAUUGACUGAGAAUCAUUCGAAUAUUGCGAGUUGUCAACAAUAUCCAGCCUGCCGGGCAUACUGAUAUUGGUCAGUCUAAUUCCAUUUUAAGAAGUGCAACUACCUUCCUUUACCUUUCUCUUUCAAAAAAGGUCAUAGUAUUACUUUAUUUAUCUUUUGAUGUUGAUAAUUAGGAAAACUGCCAUCUGAGAUACACAAACUUUAGAAAGCAGCUGUAUUUCUUGAUAACAACACAUUCUGCAUUUUCUCACCAACAUAUUUACUACCCUCCAGUGCAUAUCAAUGGUCAGGAAAAUGCAGAGGAGGAGGAUAUGGAUAACAAUGAUGAUCUUGCUGGAGAUGCCAUUGAAAGUGAUGACAAGGAAGAACAGGUACCAGCAGAACGGCCUCCCAAAACAUCAAAAUUUAUAGCAUCAGUGCCCCUGUGAUGGUUGAGUUGGAGGGUGAGGCUGACCCACUUGAGAUUGCUAUGAAAGAGCUUCGUGAAAGGAAGAUACCCUUUACCAUCCGCCACUACCUGCCUGAUAGAAGCCCUGAUGACAGAUUGUAGCCAUCCAUCAAAAAGUUCUCACACACCAAAGUUUGAUUUCGUGUGUAAUGAAAAUUAUGCUAUGUAAUGUUAUGAAAUCAACGAUAUUCUUAUGUACACAAACAGUUAAUUUUCUAAACAAUCUCCACCAAUAUAUUAAUAAUUGCUUUUUCCCAUUA